AUGGCGCCCACGCCCAACUUCCUCUUCGGCUCUGGCCCAGAGGACACGUCGGCCCAUGCCAUCGCGUCGGACCUCUCCGACGCGCGGGUGCGCCGGCAGGCGGCGUCCGGGGAGAGGAGGCGGCAGGCGGCCUCCCGCGGCGGCGGCGGGGUGCCGCCCAGGAAGACCCCACAGCGCGGCCUCGGUGUGGCGGAGCUCGAGCGCCUGCGCUGCGGCGGCUGGGCGCCGCCCAGGAAAACCCCGCAGCGCGGCCUCAGCAUGUCGGAGCUCGAGCGCCCGCGCUGCGGCAGCGUCGAUCCGCUCCAAUACCCGAAUGUCGCCGCCAUGGCCGCCAUGCUGGAGGCCGCCACCGCCAACCUGCAGGCGCAAGGCAACUCCGUCGUCGUGCAGCAGACGAUGAUGGGCUUGGCAGAUAGAAGAACACGGCCCCCUUCUGCCGCCAAUGCCACCAACGCGUCAUACUACUCAAUCCACUAUGUCGCCGCCACCAUCACCAUGAUCGCCGCUCGUAAGGAGACGGCCGGAGAAGGGUUCUCGGUGGCACCGGAGGGGAGGAAGGAGGUGCGGGAGAUUGAGUUCUUCCCGACGGGGGUCAGCAGCCACGGCGGCGGUCCCGACGAGUCCGAGCUGCGCAGGACGCGGCCCUUGUCCUCCUCGCCGCCCGGCGGCGUAGGUGGCUCCCUGGACCUGUCCCUCAGGCUCUAG
rnacentral:rRNA from 1 species